UACAGAGGUCCCGAGCGUUGUUCGGAUUCACUGGGCGUAAAGCGUGCGCAGGCGGUUCGCCAAGUCAGGUGUGAAAUCCCCGGGCUUAACCUGGGAAUUGCGCUUGAAACUAGCGGGCUUGAGUGCGGCAGAGGGGGGUGGAAUUCCACGUGUAGCAGUGAAAUGCGUAGAGAUGUGGAGGAACACCGAUGGCGAAGGCAGCCCCCUGGGUCGACACUGACGCUCAUGCACGAAAGCGUGGGGAGCAAACAGG
rnacentral:rRNA from 1 species